rnacentral:rRNA from 1 species
CCGGGACGGACGGACCUCUGGUGUGCCAGUUGUUCUGCCAAGGGCAUGGCUGGUUGGCUACGUUCGGGAGGGAUAACCGCUGAAAGCAUCUAAGCGGGAAGCCUGCUUCGAGAUGAGAACUCCCACCCCCUUGAGGGGUUAAGGCUCCCAGUAGACGACUGGGUUGAUAGGCCGGAAAUGGAAGCACUGCAAGGUGUGGAGUUGACCGGUACUAAUAGGCCGAGGGCUUGUCCUC